rnacentral:tRNA from 1 species
AUUUUAAUAAUUUAAUAAAAAUACUGGUCUUGUAAACCAGAAUUAAGAUUUAUUCUUUUAAAAUA